AAUCAUGGUGGGCCUGCCGUAUUUAGAGGCCAUCGACGUUUGGUCGUUAGGGUGCGUGAUGGCCGGGAUGAUGACUCAAGAUAGUCUCUUCAGAUCAGACAAAGACUCAGAAUACUGGACAAUGACUCCAACGCAUGAUCCGUCUGCUGGGUCUGCCGCCGCAACAUCUCAUCGAUGCUGGCCGGAGACCGCGAUUAUCUUUUCAGAAAAAGUCUAAUGGUUUGUGGCGGCUGAAGACACCUGGAGAGUAUUUUGAGAAGGAUCUCUUUUACUGCGACCGCACAGUUUACCACCUUUUAAUAUUUAAUUUUCUUUUUAAAUGCUUCAUUGUAUUUUCUGUUUAAUUCCUAUUUAACAUUUUAUUGUCUUUAUGAUUUAAUUUUCAAAUUAAACAUUUAAUGUUUUUAAUUAAAUGUCUUGUCUUUUAAAGGUUUAAUAAUCUAAUUAAAUGGUUUGUAUAUUUUAUAAAUAUUUAAUAUUCUUCUUUUUUUUAAUUAAUAUGUUUAUUUGGAAGUUUGACAUAGAAACUGCAGGACAGUCACAUUGGCCUUGUAUAUACAUGUACAUUUGAAGGGAAAAGAAAAUAUUUAAACUCAUACAAGUCAUGUAACAUCUUAUCUCUACGAUUCCAAAUCUAUACAAUUUCUUACUGCACCAAAUUGUUCUGCCCUUGAAAAUUUUUUAGUUUUUUGUAAUAACAACUUGAAAA